UACGUAGGUGGCGAGCGUUAUCCGGAUUUACUGGGUGUAAAGGGCGUGUAGGCGGGUUGGCAAGUCGGGUGUGAAAUUUACAGGCUUAACUUGUAACGGUCAUCCGAAACUGCCGAUCUUGAGUGUCGGAGAGGAAAGUGGAAUUCCUAGUGUAGCGGUAAAAUGCGUAGAGAUUAGGAGGAACACCAGUGGCGAAGGCGACUUUCUGGACGAUAACUGACGCUGAGGCGCGAAAGUGUGGGGAGGCAAACAGGAUUAGAUACCCUGGUAGUCCCUGAGCGGG
rnacentral:rRNA from 1 species